ACGCACGCUGGCGGCGUGCCUAAUACAUGCCAGUCGCACGCUUCUUUCCUCCCGAGUGCUUGCACUCAAUUGGAAAGAGGAGUGGCGGACGGGUGAGUAACACGUGGGUAACCUACCCAUCAGAGGGGGAUAACACUUGGAAACAGGUGCUAAUACCGCAUAACAGUUUAUGCCGCAUGGCAUAAGAGUGAAAGGCGCUUUCGGGUGUCGUUGAUGGAUGGACCCGCGGUGCAUUAGCUAGUUGGUGAGGUAACGGCUCACCAAGGCCACGAUGCAUAGCCGACCUGAGAGGGUGAUCGGCCACACUGGGACUGAGACACGGCCCAGACUCCUACGGGAGGCAGCAGUAGGGAAUCUUCGGCAAAGGACGAAAGUCUGACCGAGCAACGCCGCGUGAGUGAAGAAGGUUUUCGGAUCGUAAAACUCUGUUGUUAGAGAAGAACAAGGACGUUAGUAACUGAACGUCCCCUGACGGUAUCUAACCAGAAAGCCACGGCUAACUACGUG
rnacentral:rRNA from 1 species